AUACUUACCCGGCAGGGGAGACACCAUGAUCAAGCAGGUCAUUUUCCCAGGAUGAGGCUUGUCCAUUGCACUACGGACAUGUGACCCCUGUGAUUUCCCCAAAUGUGGGAAACUCGACUCCAUAAUUUAUGGUAGUGGGGGACUGCGUUCGCGCUUUCCCCAG
ensembl:snRNA U1 U1 spliceosomal RNA